rnacentral:rRNA from 1 species
UACGAAGGGUGCAAGCGUUAAUCGGAAUUACUGGGCGUAAAGCGUGCGUAGGCGGUUUCUUAAGUCUGCUGUGAAAUCCCCGGGCUCAACCUGGGAAUGGCAGUGGAUACUGGGGAGCUAGAGUGUGAUAGAGGAUGGUGGAAUUCCCGGUGUAGCGGUGAAAUGCGUAGAGAUCGGGAGGAACAUCAGUGGCGAAGGCGGCCAUCUGGAUCAACACUGACGCUGAGGCACGAAAGCGUGGGGAGCAAACAGG